UACGAGAGGCCCAAACGUUAUUCGGAAUUACUGGGCUUAAAGAGUUCGUAGGCGGCGCAGAAAGUAGGGUGUGAAAGCCCUCGGCUUAACCGAGGAAUUGCGCUCUAAACUACUGUGCUUGAGGAAUCUAGAGGUGAGCGGAACUGAUGGUGGAGCGGUGAAAUGCGUUGAUAUCAUCAGGAACACCGGGAGGCGAAGGCGGGUCUCUGGACAGUUCCUGACACUGAGGCACGAAGGCCAGGGGA
rnacentral:rRNA from 1 species